rnacentral:lncRNA from 1 species
UUUUUCUUUGGCGAUAUUAGUACUUAUGAGUUGAUAUGUGACCAAUGGAAAUCAAUUGGAUCUAUAUUUUUCAAAGACAAAAUUUGAGACAUAUCCCAUCCCAUUAUGAGAUUUUUGGUUUUUUAGGUCAAAAAUUUGGACUUCAUAUCAUUGCUCUCAAAGCUUACAGAAAAGAUUGCACUGCUGCCUGCAAUCAUUGAAUUAGAUAUUAUAUUUCUAGCGAACAAGGGCCACAAGCUACAUUGUGGUUAUGGGUUUUGGUUUUGAGAAUGAAAUUCGAAAUUCGACUGGUUCUGAUUUGACUAUUGGGUUGAUAUUUGGCACUGGUAGGCUUCUUGCCAUGAAGAGAUGAUAGACAUUUAAGGGGUCGUAAAAUUGCCACGCUUCUAACCAAGUCUAUGACCAAAAUCUGCCACUUUAUCGAAAAGAGCCUUUCGUUAUUUCAACUUCUUGGCCUUUUUUUCCUUCGUUCUUCAAGUAUAACUUUUAGCUAAUAACAUUUAUUUUAUUUUUUU